AUUGAACGCUGGCGGCAGGCCUAACACAUGCAAGUCGAGCGGAUGAAGGGAGCUUGCUCCUGGAUUCAGCGGCGGACGGGUGAGUAAUGCCUAGGAAUCUGCCUGGUCGUGGGGGAUAACGUCCGGAAACGGGCGCUAAUACCGCAUACGUCCUGAGGGAGACAGUGGGGGAUCUUCGGACCUCACGCUAUCAGAUGAGCCUAGGUCGGAUUAGCUAGUUGGUGGGGUAAAGGCCUACCAAGGCGACGAUCCGUAACUGGUCUGAGAGGAUGAUCAGUCACACUGGAACUGAGACACGGUCCAGACUCCUACGGGAGGCAGCAGUGGGGAAUAUUGGACAAUGGGCGAAAGCCUGAUCCAGCCAUGCCGCGUGUGUGAAGAAGGUCUUCGGAUUGUAAAGCACUUUAAGUUGGGAGGAAGGGCAGUAAGUUAAUACCUUGCUGUUUUGACGUUACCAACAGAAUAAGCACCGGCUAACUUCGUG
rnacentral:rRNA from 1 species